rnacentral:rRNA from 1 species
CGUAACAAGGUUUCCGUAGGUGAACCUGCGGAAGGAUCAUUACCACACCAUAAAACUUUCCACGUGAACCGUUACAAUUAUGUUCUGUGCUCUCUCUCGGGAGGGCUGAACGAAGGUAGAGCUGCAUGUAAAAGUGCGGUUUUGCCGAUGUACUUUUAAACCCAUUACACUAAUACUGAACUAUACUCCGAGAACGAAAGUUUUUGGUUUUAAUCAAUAACAACUUUCAGCAGUGGAUGUCUAGGCUCGCACAUCGAUGAAGAACGCUGCGAACUGCGAUACGUAAUGCGAAUUGCAGAAUUCAGUGAGUCAUCGAAAUUUUGAACGCACAUUGCACUUUCGGGAUAUUCCUGGAAGUAUGCUUGUAUCAGUGUCCGUACAUCAAACUUGCCUUUCUUUUUUUGUGUAGUCAAGGAGAGAAAUGGCAGAAUGUGAGGUGUCUCGCUGACUCCCUCUUCGGAGGAGAAGACGCGAGUCCCUUUAAAUGUACGUUCGCUCUUUCUUGUGUCUGAGAUGAAGUGUGACUUUCGAACGCAGUGAUCUGUUUGGAUCGCUUUGCGCGAGUGGGCGACUUCGGUGAGAACAUUAAAGGAAGCAACCUCUAUUGGCGGUAUGUUAGGCUUCGGCCCGACUUUGCAGCUGACAGUGUGUUGUUUUCUGUUCUUUCCUUGAGGUGUACCUGUCUUGUGUGAGGCAACGGUCUGAGCAAAUGGUUAUUGUGUAGUAGAAUUUUGCUGCUCUUGGACGCCCUACUCGUAGGGUAAAGGAGGCAACACCAAUUUGGGACUAGUCUGUUUCGGCAGGCGCAUUUUCAAUUUGGACCUGAUAUCAAGCAAGAUUACCCGCUGAACUUAAGCAUAUCAAUAAGCGGAGGAAAAAAGAAAACAA